UAGUAUAUUAAACUCAUGUGCGUAAUGAAAGUGACAGGUAAGAAACUCGAAAGAGUGGCAUUAUCGACCGAUCCUCACUUGUGAAAGAUUUGAGUCCGAGCAUAGCUGUUGGGACCCGAAAGAUGGUGAUCUAUGCCUGAACAGGGUGAAGCCAGGGGAAACUCUGGUGGAGGCUCGUAGUGGUACUGACGUGCAAAUCGUUCGUCUGAUUUGGGUAUAGGGGCGAAAGACUAAUCGAACUAUCUAGUAGCUGGUUCCCUCCGAAGUUUCCCUCAGGAUAGCUGGAACAUAUUUAUAUACAGUUUUAUCAGGUAAAGCUAAUGAUUCGACGUUCCGGGCUAGCAACUAGCUUGACGUAUUCUCAAACUUUAAAUCGGUAAGAUUUUGUUAUGUAACUUAAUUGUACAUACAAAAUGAAUGAAUGUUCUUAGUGGGCCAUUUUUGGUAAGCAGAACUGGCGAUGCGGGAUGAACCGGACGUUGAGUUACGGUGCCAAACCAUUCGCUCAUCUAGAUCCCUCAAAAGGUGUUGGUUCAUCGUGACAGCAGGACGGUGGUCAUGGAAGUCGAAACCCGCUAAGGAGUGUGUAACAACUCACCUGCCGAAUGGAUUAGCCCUGAAAAUGGAUGGCGCUGAAGCGAAUGACCUAAACUCAACCAUUUAUAUAAAUGCGAAAUAUAAAUGAGUAGGAGGGCGUAGUCAUAUGUGAUGAAGUUUCUAACGUAAGUUA
rnacentral:rRNA from 1 species